rnacentral:rRNA from 1 species
GGUGAGAGUGGCGGAUUGGGGAGGAACACGUGGGCAACCUGCCCUUGGGUCGGGGAAAACCGUUGGAAACGACGGCUAAUACCGGAUGCAGCGUCCGAAGGCAUCUUCGGAACGCCAAAGGGGGCCGCAAGGCUCCCGCCCGAGGAGGGGCUCGCGCACCAUCAGCUUGUUGGCGGGGUAACGGCCCACCAAGGCUCACGGUUAGCUGGUCUGAGAGGAUGACCAGCCCCACUGGGACUGAGAUACUGCCCAGACUCCUACGGGAGGCUGCAGUCGAGGAUCAUUCGCAAUGGGCGAAAGCCUGACGAUGCGACGCUGCGUGGAGGAUGAAGGCCUUCGGGUCGUAAACUCCUGUCAUGGGGGAAGAGGCGAGGGGAGUCAACACCUCCCUUAGUUGACGGUACCCCAAGAGGAAGGGACGGCUAACUCUGUGCCAGCAGCCGCGGUAAUACAGAGGUCCCGAGCGUUGUUCGGAUUUACUGGGCGUAAAGGGCGCGUAGGCGGCGAGGCGUGUCGGAUGUGAAAUCUCCGGGCUCAACCCGGAAAGUGCGUCCGAAACUACCCCGCUGGAGUACGGGAGAGGGAAUCGGAAUAUAGGGUGUAGCGGUGAAAUGCGUUGAUAUCCUAUAGAACACCGGAGGCGAAGGCGGAUUCCUUGAACGAUACUGACGCUGAGGCGCGAAAGUCGGGGGAGCAAACAGGAUUAGAUACCCUGGUAGUCCCGACCUUAAACGGUGCACGCUCGCGGUGGGGGGAUUUCACCCCUCCCGUCGCUUAGCAAACGCGUUAAGCGUGCCGCCUGGGGAGUACGGCCGCAAGGCUAAAACUCAAAGAAAUUGACGGGGGCCCGCACAAGCAGAGGAGCAUGUGGCUUAAUUCGAUGCAACGCGAAGAACCUUACCUGGGCUUGACAU